AUUACUUAGCAUUCUAAACAAUCAACUAGCAUGAAAGCACAUUUGGUACCGCCUACAACUAUCGGAUAACAUAUCACGAACAUGAAGCAUCCAACAUAAUGCACACAAAUCUCUAAAAGAUGCUGUAAGAAGAAGACAUACACAGAAACUUCUGAUCAGGACAGUGGUUCCCAACCUUGGAUAAGCCAGGCAUUCUUGGACUGCAACUCCCAGAAACCCUCGCCAUCACAAUGGCAGUGACGGUAUGGAAAUGAGUGCAGGACAAAGCCAUUAUAAGAAACAGAAGAGAAAUAUGAAUGAGAAACAGAUGUUGAGAAGAAAGACACAGAUAAAGCAAAAGAAUUAAUUGA